rnacentral:lncRNA from 1 species
AUUCAUCUUUGACAUGUUUUACUUCUCAGUUGUUCCUGGAGGAAGCUCGCAUUCUGUCGAAUAUAUGACAGGGCCUGUUCCUGUCAUCGUUUUCCGCUGGUCUGUCAUUGUGGAAAUCCCACGAGAUUUAGAAGAACCUCUGACGACAGUGUUUUUGCUGGCGUGAAACAAAUCACUUAAAUACGUAGCUCCUUCACAAACUGUCGGAUAGAAACUCUUCUGGGACUCAGAUCGUCUUUCCGUAUCACCAACUUUCUUAAGAGUCCCCGACAACGUCUGCCCGUAAAGCCCUUCACAGACACUCACACCGUGUCCCAGUUCCGUAGAUAGCCUUUUUUUUGGGCUGCCGGUUCCACUAUUGAUUUCCCAAUUCGUGCUACCCUCCUUCGCAAGACAUGUCGCUUCCUGGAGGUCCGCUUGGCAUUCCUGGACGAGCGAGCGAGGACAAGACGGGAACGGCCACUGAGUUCCACAAGGAAAGCCCAGGGCGACUGUCUCCCCAAGCCAGCCACAAAUGGCGUCCUCACUGCGCAAGUCUACUUCUUUCUCUCUAUUUUUUUGUCAUUCUGGUAGUUCUCCCUUCUCGCAUGUCUGACAAUUUCUCUUCAACCAGGGCUUUCAUGGCUGAGGCAGCCAGCAGUGGAUCUCGGGGGCGUGUCGACCUGGAUUCUGUGAAAGUUGAUGGUGAUGAGAAGACGGCAGCAACUGCAUCGACGCUCUCUGGUGCCCACAAUGAGACAGUGGACAAUAUUGUGAAAGGAGGUGGAGUACCGAGGGGCCAGGAUACCGACAUAAUGCCUCGUGCAACGAUCACAUCGCGAAGCACAAAGUUUUCUUCGCGCGUCGCAUUCCGUCGGACUGGGAUAUUAGCGAUGACAUUCGUCGCCAGUCUGGCUGCAGCUGGUGCGGUUGUCGCUUUGUUGACUCUGAAACGGUCCAAGCAGAAGACAAGGGAUAUGCAGCCACCGUCCGCUGGUGCCUGGACAAUACAAGUAAGGCAAAGCGUGUCCAGAAGCAGUAGGGCAAACUGACCUACCGUCGCGUUCUGUGUUGCUGGGGAUUGGGAAAAAGGGCAUCCUCGGCUGGCUAGAUGUAGAAAGGGAUCCCUUGUCACUUUUGUGGUUUUGGCGCUGAGGUUGAGGUUCUGAGUGUAACAUCCCAGCAGGCAGAUAUCAAGUAAUUCUACAUACCCGAGAACACUAGGCACCGCCUAGAUUGGCGACUGGGUUCGACACCCGAGGUGAGUUGUUCCAACACGCGCGUGUGGUAGACAGGUUAAUAAGCGGGACGGGGGACAAUCGGCAUUCGCGAUGCGGUGAACGAACCCAAUGGAGACCAAUCCAGUUUGUCCCCAAGGCUGUAUCGUCCACGGUCCAUAGCAUCAGGCCUAUAGAUGCCAUGGGAAGGGCGACAAAACAGUGAACGAUUCAGGGCUAUGGACGUAUUGAUAGAAACCCUCGUGAGCAAUGCAUCCUAUUUCGUUAGCUAAUCACGAGCAACUUACGAUGAAUUUAACAUACUGGAUCUCAGCAUGAUGAAUGCCUCAUCCGUCGUGUGGGAUGAGAUGCUGAACCGUGUAUGACGAUGUCAGCAGGCGUAUGGGCACCGCUACUGUGGCUCCACACUUACCAAAUCGUAGACUGGUCAUGCUGAUUCCCUCCGUCAUUAGGCAUCGAAAACCUCCCGGUUUACGUUAGUAAAACCGAGCAACCGGUUAAUUAAUGUUCGGUUUGAUGUUCUACACGUACCUAUAUAAAUUUGUUAUGUUCUUGUCGCCUAUAAACCUCGUAAUACUCGGUACGUGUUUUGUAUGGGUACUUAGCAUCAGACCAAAGAGUUCACUAACUGUACUAGCACCCCCCAAAAGGAUAUCCCGAUAGUCUUUGUGUAAGCGACUUUCGAUCCCCCAAUACAGAGUGGUACACGGACGUUACCAUAUGCUCCAUACAAAGCCUUCUUGAACAACAUAGUGAUCACGAACAGGUCAUCUAUUGUUUUGAUCACGUUGUAGAUACAUUUUGUCUCUGCAAAUGAUCCGCGUGGAAUGAUUAUGAGAUUUUCAUGAAAUGCAUAGCAUUUUAUGACCAUAGGUACUCGGAAGGUAACGUAGGAUCCCACCACCGUAUAUUCUGGCCUUUUGAUCAUCCAGAAAAGAAGAUUUGAACAAAACCUCGUGCAGUACUUUCUAGUGGAAAGUAUUUUUACUUGCUCAUUUGUGUUCAAUGUGUCGUUAGAACAUAGUUGUAAGAUUCUAUACAUGGCGUGAUAUUUGUUUAUUCUUCCACAUAUUACCGUUGUGGGUUGUCUCCAAAAGAACUUGUCCAAUCUGUGUGUGAACACAGGGGACAUUGAAAAUAAGUAUUAGUUGUGUUCAAGAUACACACCCUAUAUAUGAAUAACUUUUCUGCUGCAAUGCUUACCCGUCCGUUCGCUAUUACCAAAGCGUAGGGGCAGGACGUCCGCUUGAGAUGUGUGGGGGGUAGUGCGGCCGCCUGGAAUUUUCGGCAUGAUUCAGUGGCAGCGUUUUAAAAAACUUUUGUUGCCUAGUUGCACCUGUUGAAAAAGCUCGCAAAGUGGUAUUCACCGAAGGGCUAUAAGGGGCAGCGCUGUUGUGCGUGUUCCAGGGAGCUCCUGGCUCAUUUCCCCUUAUGUCUGACAAAAGUCAAUCCUGCGACGCUGCUGCUCUAUCUUCCCGUCAAAGGUUUUGAGCAAAUUUUCUCUGAUGUAUGCAAUUUCAGGCACCCGAAGCAGAGCCAGCAGAGCUGAAGGUUGUUUUUGGAUUGGCGGUCGUUGGCGCCAUUGCACUACUAGUACGUUUUCCUGCAGGCUGUUGGAGAGUCUUCUCAUUGUUUCUUUACUUCGAAGACAGCAGGGCACCUGUAGGAAACUAAGUCUCCAACUAUUUCGUGGGUCGCUGCGGCGGCGUUGUAUCAAUAGGUAGCUGCAUUGUCUCCUUGCUUUUUUUUUAUCUCCAUGCGUCCAAGAUCGUUCGCUCAUCACUUCACAGAAUAACGUUUUUAUGCAGCUGGGCUAUCACCGUAGGGCUAUCCACUGCGCGGGACUACUGCUUGCAUGCUCCACGGCAUCAUCCCGCGCCCCCGAAGGUUACUGACUUACUCACGCUUCCGAUUCAUCCUACUGGAGUGCUACAGUACUUCAGCACAGUAAGCGUUAAGGAUGCAGAUGUAUAUUUUGAAGUUAUUUUUUGGAAGGGGUCAGCGGCGGAAGAGCUUCUCGGCCAGCAGCCACCCAACAAAGCAAAAAUUCGACUCACGCAGCGAACGCUGGGGCUCGCUGACCCUGAUUCAAACUAAGAGCAUUGCGCGGGGGAUGAAGGCUUCCAGCAGCUGGGGUGGUCCCGGUUGAUCGGUUCCGCCUCAAGCACUGCAGGAAUAUCUUGACCAACGACCGCCUCAUGCGUGCAAAAGGGACCAUGUGGCACUUAUGUUUGUUUAAAUGAGUGUUGAUAAGACGCUGCUCACGUGUCACUCAUAUGAACUGAAGUUAACAGUUCAUAGCAAAACUGGAGCUUCUUCCAGGUGCCAGAAGUACUUUUACGAGCCGUGCGGGGGACGGGAUCAGAAGCAGCAUUCUCGUAGUUUUGCCGUCGCUGCCACUCGCGGCCAAAAGCGGAUCUUGAGAACGCACGAAUUGUUUUGUUCUAGAGAGCCGUUUUUCGCGGUUGACCGGGACCCUCACUUUGUUGACAGGCAGCGAGUGGCAUUCUGGCUUUUCUUCUUCUGAGAGGUGUCGUUUCUGCGAGCACAGGCGUGCUGAUGUGCGCCGGCUCGAGCAUGACGACGCUUUGCGCGUCUGAUGGCAUGAAAAAGACGCGUUGCAACGGGAACAGGAUAACGCGAUUGUAGAGGAUUCCGAUCAGAUGUAUGAGCGUUUCGUCUUACCCGUUCGUAGAUUCGUUGGAGAUAGAAGCGUACAUAUCGUAUGCUGGUACUUGUCUGCCAUAUAGUUACGUGCCUAGUAGGAAAAAGUACCAUUGAGGCUUCUGUUCCAGCAGGGCGGGCGCUACUUACACAACUUCCGCAGGUUGCAGAUUUGUGAUAGAGAGCCACUUCCAUUUCUUACUUGUGGCGUGUCUCUCUUUCGGGCAACACUAACGCCAGUUGGAGGCCACCGAUCAUUCGAGGGGUUCUCUGGUUUGCAAGUAGGAAAUAAGCGCCUCAGCUAUUUUGAUUGUCAGUGGAUGUGGACACUUUUACUAUCUGAUUCGUGGAAGUGGACGAUCGUAUAAUGAGGCGUCAAUGGGAGUGGCUUAGGACUCUACGAGCUUACUGAUCACUGGUGUGGAGACGGAUGGCUGCACGCUGGGUGUUCGCGAGCCACUGCUGACGUCGGCCUUGAAAGGGGACUGGGGAUCAGCGGAAUCACUUUGGACAACAAAGGCAGAGCGAAUGCUGGCCUGGUAGGCGACGGAUGGUUGGCCGAGCCAUGGAGGACAUAAUGAAAUCAAGUGAGGGGACCUUUUUUGGAUGUCUCCAGACGCAGCCAGUAAGUGUCCAUAUCCUGGUUAUGUUGUGCACUGUCUUGUUACUUCACCUGGCCAUGUGGCUAGGUGUGCCAGAUUGUGUGCCACCCCGUCUGGAUAUCGGCCGAUUUAGGGCUCCGGAACAUUGGCGCAGGCAUUAAGAAACGUGUGUCAGAAGGAAGCACGAAGUCUCUCAUUGCCACGUAUCAGUAUGGUCUCCGUUCAGGAUUCACCAUUAUACACUGUGUUUCCAGGCAAGAGUACAUGCUGCGCCAGCAGACUCCGACUGCCAGGGUUGUAAAGGAC